UUAUGUGUACAAAAUAAAUUUACCUCAAACAGUUUUUAUAAUCACAUAUCUUUUAAUAAAACACGGUGGGUUUGUUUAUUUUUUGUUGUGAUUUAUAAUCUAACCAUAAAUAAAAAUAAUUCAUGAUUUCCUAACAAUAAUCUUAACAUAACAAAAUAAUAAAUUUUCUAAAUGUUCUAUAUUGUAUUUUGUAUUGUAGUAUCAUCAAAAUGAUUGUGUCCAUCACUUGUACAUACAAUAUUUCCUGUUCAGAUGUUAUAAAAUAAAAUAAAUAAGGAAAUAAUAAUUUAGUAGCAAUUAAAACACAAUGCAGUUACUUAAAAAAAAUGCUAGGCAAUAACACUGCAGCUAAAAUAGAACACAGAAAUGAAUAAAUCACACAUAUAUUGUGUUUUUAGCCUAUUUAUUUAAUUUCAGGGUUUUUUUUCUCUAAAGAAAAUAUUUAAAAUUGGUGUAUCAAUCAGAUUCCAUAGCUAACUCUGUUUUUUUUUCUUUUGAAUUAUGGGACUUUUGCUUAGCAGGGCAGUAUAUUACUAUCUUGUUUUGUUUUAUCGUGUAUUUAUAUUAACAUUU